AUUGAACGCUUGCGGCAGGCCUAACACAUGCAAGUCGAGCGGAUGACGGGAGCUUGCUCCUCGAUUCAGCGGCGGACGGGUGAGUAAUACCUAGGAAUCUGCCUGAUAGUGGGGGACAACGUUUCGAAGGGAACGCUAAUACCGCAUACGUCGGACGGGAGAAAGCAGAGGACCUUCGGGCCUUGCGCUACCAGAUUGACCGGGGUCGGAUUAGCUAGUUGGUGAGGUAAUGGCUCACCAAGGCGACGAUCCGUAACUGGUCUGAGAGGAUGAUCAGGCACACUGGAACUGGGACACGGUCCAGACUCCUACGGGAGGCAGCAGUGGGGAAUAUUGGACAAUGGGCGAAAGCCUGAUCCAGCCAUGCCCCGUGUGUGAAGAAGGUUUUCGGAUUGUAAAGCACUUUAAGUUGGGAGGAAGGGCAGUAAGCUAAUACCUUGCUGUUUUGACGUUACCGACAGAAUAAGCACCGGCUAACUCUGUGCCAGCCGCCGCAGUAACAC
rnacentral:rRNA from 1 species